AGAGAUGUUGCUCAGUGGUAGAGUACUUGCCUAGCAUGCAAGAAGUGCUGGGCUCAGUCCCCAGCACCACAA
rnacentral:tRNA from 1 species